rnacentral:rRNA from 1 species
GCAGCCGCGGUAAUUCCAGCUCCAAUAGCGUAUAUUAAAGUUGUUGCAGUUAAAAAGCUCGUAGUUGAAGUUUGGUCCCAUUUAGGCGGUCUGCUUAACGGUUUGUACUGUCUGCCUGGGACUUUAGCCUCUUGGUGGUCCGGUAUGUCAUUUACUUGGUGUAUCGGGGAACCAGGAUUUUUACUUUGAAAAAAUUAGAGUGUUCAAAGCAGGCGUUUGUCGGAAUAAAUUAGCAUGGAAUAAUAAAAUAGGACGUGUGGUUCUAUUUUGUUGGUUUGUAGAAUCACCGUAAUGAUUAAUAGGGACAGUUGGGGGCACUAGUAUUUGCACGUUAGAGGUGAAAUUCUGGGAUCGUGUGAAGACUGACGACUGCGAAAGCAUUUGCCAAGGAUGUUUUCAUUAAUCAAGAACGAAGGUUAGGGGAUCGAAAACGAUCAGAUACCGUUGUAGUCUUAACAGUAAACUAUGCCGACUAGGGAUUGGUGGAUGUGAAUUUAAUUGUAGACGUCACCAGCACCUUGCGAGAAAUCAAAGUGUUUGGGUUCUGGGGGGAGUAUGGUCGCAAGGCUGAAACUUAA